GGAAAGCGUCCGGUUGGUCGAGGAGCGCCGUUGGAAGCGGCGUACGCGGUGACACGCCGCGGCGGGGUUCGAAUCCCCGGCUUUCCGCCA
rnacentral:tRNA from 1 species